rnacentral:tRNA from 1 species
GUGAUUGUAGCUCAGCUGGUUAGAGCGCUGGAUUGUGGUUCCAGAGGUCGCCGGUUCGAAACCGGUCUUUCACCCUA